GCCAUAUGAACUGGAGCAGAAACAGUCUUCCAUUGCAUACUCUGUCUAUCCAGGGUCUCACAACUUUCUCCAAUACGUCUGUGUAGACAGCAGCAUUAACUCUUAAGCCUCGUAAAAAAAGGGGGA